CCUACGGGAGGCAGCAGUGGGGAAUAUUGCGCAAUGGGCGAAAGCCUGACGCAGCGACGCCGCGUGAGGGAUGAAGGUCUUCGGAUCGUAAACCUCUGUCAGCAGGGAAGAACGGUCACUGUGCUAAUCAGCAGUGAAUUGACGGUACCUGCAAAGGAAGCACCGGCUAACUCCGUGCCAGCAGCCGCGGUAAUACGGAGGGUGCGAGCGUUAACCGGAAUUACUGGGCGUAAAGCGCUGGUGGGCGGUAUGUCAAGUCAAAGGUGAAAUCCACGGGCUCAACGUGGGAACUGCCUUUGAAACUGGAAACCUUGAGUGUGGGAGAGGAGAGUGGAAUUCCGGGGGUAGGGGUGAAAUGCGUAGAUAUAAGGAGGAACACCAGUGGCGAAGGCGAAGAUCUGGAACAUAACUGACGCUGAGGAGCGAAAGCGUGGGGAGCAAACAGGAUUAGAUACCCGUGUAGUC
rnacentral:rRNA from 1 species